rnacentral:lncRNA from 1 species
GACUUUCAAAGGUUUGACUUUUAGUACUUCACUGCUACAAAGCUUCACUGCAUGACAUGCUUCCGCGUAUUGAUUUUUGGGGCAAAUUAAUUUUAAUUUUAAGUCAUAAUUGUAUUUUAUAUUUUAUAUCAAUAAACAUUCACUGCAAACUGCAUCAUAAACAUGUCACGUUUCAGACUAAAAAAAAAAAAAAAAAGUCAAGUGGCAAAACACUCUAAAUUAGGUUUCGCUCACCAUUUUAAGUUAAGGUGUAUCAUCG